GCAGUCGAGCGGAAACGAGUUAUCUGAACCUUCGGGGAACGAUAACGGCGCUCGAGCGGCGGACGGGUGAGUAAUGCCUGGGAAAUUGCCCUGAUGUGGGGGAUAACCAUUGGAAACGAUGGCUAAUACCGCAUAAUAGCUUCGGCUCAAAGAGGGGGACCUUCGGGCCUCUCGCGUCAGGAUAUGCCCAGGUGGGAUUAGCUAGUUGGUGAGGUAAGGGCUCACCAAGGCGACGAUCCCUAGCUGGUCUGAGAGGAUGAUCAGCCACACUGGAACUGAGACACGGUCCAGACUCCUACGGGAGGCAGCAGUGGGGAAUAUUGCACAAUGGGCGCAAGCCUGAUGCAGCCAUGCCGCGUGUGUGAAGAAGGCCUUCGGGUUGUAAAGCACUUUCAGUCGUGAGGAAGGUAGUGUGUUUAAUAGAUGCAUUAUUUGACGUUAGCGACAGAAGAAGCACCGGCUAACUCCGUGCCAGCAGCCGCGGUAAUACGGAGGGUGCGAGCGUUAAUCGGAAUUACUGGGCGUAAAGCGCAUGCAGGUGGUGUGUUAAGUCAGAUGUGAAAGCCCGGGGCUCAACCUCGGAAUUGCAUUUGAAACUGGCAGACUAGAGUACUGUAGAGGGGGGUAGAAUUUCAGGUGUAGCGGUGAAAUGCGUAGAGAUCUGAAGGAAUACCGGUGGCGAAGGCGGCCCCCUGGACAGAUACUGACACUCAGAUGCGAAAGCGUGGGGAGCAAACAGGAUUAGAUACCCUGGUAGUCCACGCCGUAAACGAUGUCUACUUGGAAGGUUGUGGCCUUGAGCCGUGGCUUUCGGAGCUAACGCGUUAAGUAGACCGCCUGGGGAGUACGGUCGCAAGAUUUAAAACUCAAAAUGAAUUGACGGGGGGCCCCGCACAAGCGGUGGAAGCAUGUGGUUUAAUUCGAUGCAACGCCGAA
rnacentral:rRNA from 1 species